rnacentral:rRNA from 1 species
GACGAACCCGUCCGAACGUUAUUCGGAAUCACUGGGCUUAAAGAGUGCGUAGGCGGCUUAUCAGGCGGGGUGUGAAAUCCCUCGGCCCAACCGAGGAAUAGCGCUCCGAACCGAUAGGCUUGAGGAGGAUAGAGGUAAGCGGAACAGGUGGUGGAGCGGUGAAAUGCGUUGAUAUCAUCUGGAACACCUGUGGCGAAAGCGGCUUACUGGGUCCUUUCUGACGCUGAGGCACGAAAGCCAGGGUAGCGAACGGGAUUAGAACCUUCC